UUUUUUUUUUUUUCCUUUUUUGUUAUUGUUCACUUUAAACUCAUACCAAAAAUUAAAAGAAUAUUUAAUUUUUUAACUUAUUGUUAUUAUUAUUAUCAUUAUUUUGCAUUCAAAGCUAGUGAUUAUUACAUUUUUGACAUUUUGGUUCUGGUUGACUCAAAGUCAAACCAACCAUUAUUAAAUUUUAACUAAUUAAAAAAAAAAAAAACGUUUUACAGGUCACAAAAAGAGUGGAUACAGCUGCAAGCCAAUGGCACGGAUGGAACUGGAGAUCAGAAGGCGAUUUGCUCCUUAACGGCGCUUAUUUCACUCCAUCCGGCGCCGGCGCCUCCGGGAGUUACGCUAGGGCUUCAAGUUUAGGUGCCAAGUCUUCUUCCAUGGUCGCCACCAUCACCUCCGGCGCCGGCGUCUUAAACUGCCGUAGAGGCCGCCAGUGCUAACCGCCGUUACCCUUCCGUCAAUUCUCAUUUUCUUUUUUUUCUUUUUUUCUUUUACAGCUUCCACUAUCAUCACCUUAUAUACACUACUUUUUUAUUUUUCUUUUUCAUUCUUCAUUUUCGAAGUUCAACCAACUGCCAAAGAGCAGAUCCGUAGCGUUGUUUAUGAUUAUAUUUCCUUCUUCAUUCUACCAAAACCCAUUAUCCAUUUAUCCCCUUCUACCUACCCGACCGACCCGACCCGGGUUUAUUGGAUUACAGGAUCCGAAUGUUUUAAUUUUAUUUAUUUUGGUAAUGGUAGUUUUUCUCAUAUGUGAAUGUCAAAAAC
rnacentral:lncRNA from 1 species